rnacentral:antisense_RNA from 1 species
GACGGACAUCAGCGAUUCGUUCUGGGAACCAUCCCCUACCGCGAGGUAAGAGUGCAUGCCCAGCUCUUUCAUCUGCUGUUCGCCAAUCACGCGAGUCACUACGUUUUUGCUGAAAGCAUCCGCUAACUGGCGCGCCUGAGAAGCCAGGUACGCAGGAUUACAGAUAUUUGGUGGCAUAUUGCCCAAAUCUUUCGC